CUGAAUACUAAAAUAUAGUUUACAUAUAAAAUGCUGAAACAUAAAAAUGGUAUAGUAAAAAAUAAACUAUUGUCACAUGUGGUAUUGUUUUAGGAGACACUUUGACAAGAGGACACUGGAAGGCCAAGUUGUGUGUGAGGAGAGCAUUCAGCCCAGCUUCCUGUCUGGCCUUGCUACUGUUCACUGCAUAUUAUUACAUAUUCAAUCAGGAGAAGCCAGCCUGCACCUUGGAGUUCAUUUAAAGAGAGGAACAAAGAAGAAAAUUGCCAUCUAAAAGGACAGGGCAAAUGGUACAGAAGAAACAGGUUGCAGUGAACCCACGUGUUGCCACUCUUCCCUGCAAAGUGGUGUGUUCAGUGGAAUUUCUGAAAUCCACUCUUUGCAUCCUGUGAUGGAACAGCAUCCGGAGCUGAAUUAUUCUCCAUUUUUGAUC